AGAGAAUAGAUACCCGGGUAGUCCACGCCGUAAACGAUGGAUGCUAGCCGUCGGAUAGCUUGCUAUUCGGUGGCGCAGCUAACGCAUUAAGCAUCCCGCCUGGGGAGUACGGCCGCAAGGUUAAAACUCAAAGGAAUUGACGGGGGCCGGCACAAGCGGUGGAGCAUGUGGUUUAAUUUACGACGCAACGCGAAGAACCUUACCAGCUCUUGACAUUCACUGAUUGCCUGGAGAGAUCCGGGAGGUCCUAGCAAUAGGCAGUGGGACGAGGUGCUGCAUGGCUGUCGUCAGCUCGUGUCGUGAGAUGUUUGGGUUAAGUCCCGCAACGAGCGCAACCCUCGCCAUUAGUUGCCAUCAUUCAGUUGGGCACUCUAGUGGGACUGCCGGUGAUAAGCCGGAGGAAGGUGGGGAUGACGUCAAGUCAUCAUGGCCCGUUACGGGCUGGGCUACACGCGUGCUACAAUGGCGGUGACAAUGCGCAGCCACCUAGCAAUA
rnacentral:rRNA from 1 species